rnacentral:tRNA from 1 species
UCCCUGGUGGUCCAGUGGUUAAGACUCUGCACUUCCACUGCAGGGAACAUGGGUUCAAUCCCUGGUUAUGGAA